GCCUACGGGAGGCAGCAGUGAGGAAUAUUGGUCAAUGGCCGAGAGGCUGAACCAGCCAAGUCGCGUGAGGGAUGACGGCCCUACGGGUUGUAAACCUCUUUUGUCGGGGAGCAAAGAGAGUCACGUGUGGCUCAUUGAGAGUACCCGAAGAAAAAGCAUCGGCUAACUCCGUGCCAGCAGCCGCGGUAAUACGGAGGAUGCGAGCGUUAUCCGGAUUUAUUGGGUUUAAAGGGUGCGCAGGCGGAAGAUCAAGUCAGCGGUAAAAUUGAGAGGCUCAACCUCUUCGAGCCGUUGAAACUGGUUUU
rnacentral:rRNA from 1 species